rnacentral:lncRNA from 1 species
CCAAGGGCCACGUCCCUGUGAUCAAGACCUGCAAAGGGUAGCAGGGUGGAGGGCAGGCUGCUACACCUUAUCCCAUCCAACUCCGACUCAGCCUUGCCUGGGGACAAAUGCUGUUCUCUUCAGGAGGGACUCUGGGGAUCCCAAACCUUCCCUUCUCUCCUUGCCUGGGCCAGCCUUCGAGGGCUGCCUGGAGGCUGCGGGCAGGCAGACACGUACCCUGUCUCUUCAGCAUGUGGUAGGCGUCUUUGAUCUUUGCUUCUUCUGGCAGGGCCAUGGUCCAGCUGUACAGCAGCUCAAUAACCUUGGUCUUCACUUUCUCAGACACCCUGUCCCCCAGGUACUACAUGGCAAAAGAAAAUGAGGACCUAGUAAGUGCAGUUCGGAGGCAGAGAAAGUGUAAGGCUCCCUCCACAGCAAUGGCGUGGCUGCUCAGCAGCUAUGGUCCUACUCAAAAUCUGCAGGUGUCCAAGUGUGUGUGAGACAGCGUGGGGAGGGGAACGACUCCCUGUGGUGUGGCUGUGUCCAUCUGGAUACAGUCUGUGGAUAGGCAGGGGGCCAGGAGGUCAUCACCUCCUGUCCAGGAAGUGUCCUGUAAGUGUAUUCAUGACCUUACUCAUCUGCACAGCAGCCACGUCAGUAGGGGUGGCGUCCCCAUUUGCCGCCUGGGAUCAUCUAACUUGCCCAGGGUGUAAGGGCCGGAUGGAAACCUGAGUCUGACACCAGAGACCAUGCCCUCGGUGCUCACCCCUGCUCUCUGCCUUUCCUUACUACCUUGGGGACAUCAAGACAGAGAGGCUUCCUUGUGACCCUGAUGCCCAUGUGGUGCAGGCCAUGGUUGGGUGGAUAUUUUGAGUUCUGAGGAAAGUGCAUUUUCACGCACAAGUUGCCAGAAACACAACUGCAUUUUAUCUUGGGGGUGUCCAUGAGAAUGUCUUUAGCAUGGUAAAGUAUUCCCUCUGCUUUAAGUGGGGGCCCAGAGCUGCGCCACACCAGCGUGCAACAGAACACGGCCAGCUGAGCAUCGGAGCAAUGACGGAGGCCAGCUCCCCGUAUCCACGUGACACAGGCCAAGAAAACCCACAAAACCCACAACUGCCAUGUGCCAGGUGCCUAGAGUCCCACACUACAUGGGCCCUCACCCUGGACAAACACACAGCCACUACCACAUCACCUGUCAGAUUUGGGCUGAGGGCGCUUCAGAAAAAGCUGCCGGUCCCUGUGGCCUGUUUGGUCAUCCCGUUACCUCCAGGGCCUAGCUCUCUAAGGACAAGACACAAAUAAUCUCAGCUCCCUGGAGAUGUUGGAUGGGCAGUGAAAGCCAGUAUGAUGGGAGAUGGGAAUGAACACAAAAGAAGUCCCUAAAAGCGAGGAAUCUGCCGCUGACUGACCUUUGGAGAGACGACUUUGAUUAACUCAUUCAAAAAGCGGAACUUCCCCACUUCGUUAUGAAAUCUCCUCCCACAGUUCUUCAUGCAUGCCUCCAGCACCUGUAGCCGCACAGAGGAGAGGCGCUCAGUGAGGGCGUGCUCGGGGCUGGAACCUGGCACUGGCAAGAUCCCUGGCACCCAGAGAGUACUGAAUAAACACGCCCACAGGAAGGAGCUCAUCACGAAAAGCAGUGUGCACUGCCCGGGGACAGUGUAAUUAAGCAACGAGAUCACUCACAGACCAUGUCCCUCCAACUGCAAACCUCUGCUGGGGAAGCUGGGCAGGGACUAAAGCAAGAAACCCCGAGACCCCGACCCCAAGAAGGCCUGGAUGCCAGUCCUGGAAGGUGCCUUCCUUAAAGAUUCUGGCCUCGUGUUUUACAAUGAGGGAGGACCUGAAUGCAGUCAGGCUAGAGCCCCGGAUUCCUCAGAUCUCGGCUGCUCUUUGUUUUCGGAGCAUGUGGAGGCACUGAGGGCCAGGCACCAUUCCACACCUUAAAUUCCCUCAGUCUGAACAGACACCAGGAUCUGCCCUAGGGGCCUCAGCCAUCAGUGCGACACCUUCGCUAGUGACUGGCAUUGUUUAACUACAGAAUGAACUGGACCGACCCCUCUUUUCUUCAGCUGGCCAGCUCUGAACUAUCAACACAGCCCUGUCAGCAUCUCUUCACCAAGCCUUCUCUUGCGCCACAUGGGGCUCAGGGCCCUGACUCUGGGCUGCUUUCCUUAGCCCCUCUGCCUCACACACUAACCAUGUGGCCAUGCUGGCAGGGACGGCACUGCAGUCACCUCUGAGGCCUCAGGGCCUGGCACAAUGCACACAGAUUUGUGGAACAGCUGGCUGAACAGAUUCGAGAUCUAUCUAGUCUGUAUCAAGGACUUUCUGUUGGCUUUUGGCAGGAGCCCUAAGAACCGCUAUGGGGACACGAGGAAUGGCGUGGGCAGGUGAAGGGCUGCGGUUUCCACCUCCGGAGAGUGAAGGACCUACCGUCAGGGCCUGGAGCGCCUCCCAUUCCUGUGGGGACUGGAUCUUGUGGGCCAGCAGUCGGACGGCGAUCUGUGGCCUGGGGGACAAGCAGAACACACUCCAGUGCACUAAGCCUGGGGCUACCUGGCUGGCCCUCCUUGGCCAUGGUUGUUCCCCUUCCCAGUCCGCUCCCUCUCAGCUGCCCCCACAGUGCUGAGACUCACCCUUCCAGCUCCUUGUUGAUCUGAUCACAGAAGCCAAUUAUGUAUUCCCAGUCCUCCUGGCGGUUGGAAGGAUUGGUGGCUUUAUCUUGCAACACAACAAAGAAGAGGACAAGUGUUAGGAAGAGCAAUGAGGAUGCAAUGGAAGGUUUUCUUCGCAAGUUUUAAGCACUAAGAGUUUGCUUUCAACUUUACUCUCUAAUAGAGAAGCCUCAGUAGAACAGUCAGUAGCAAGGAGACAGAAAAAAAAAAAAUUCAGUCGGAGAGCAAAUACAAAUACUGCUUUCUGUCCAGUAUUUUGAAAGUCACAAAUAAAAGAGAAAACAAAUUCUGUCUCAUGAAGCUUAGAGUGGAAUCAAGGUCAAAAGGACAAACACAAAUAAUUAAAAUAUUCCCAAAAAAAUGCCUACAUGAAACAUGUAAAGAUAAUAAAGGGAACUCCAGCUAUAUAAAAAUGAGCUCAGUGUUAAGCAAGUGGAGAUGGUCAAGAAGGGUUUUUGGGGAAACUGAAAUCAGACUGAACUAGAUAAAAAAAUACAUAUUU